UGAGGAAUAUUGGUCAAUGGGCGAGAGCCUGAACCAGCCAAGUCGCGUGAAGGAAGACUGCCUUAUGGGUUGUAAACUUCUUUUAUACAGGAAUAAAAAGGCUUACGUGUAGGCCAUUGCAAGUACUGUAUGAAUAAGCAUCGGCUAACUCCGUGCCAGCAGCCGCGGUAAUACGGAGGAUGCGAGCGUUAUCCGGAUUUAUUGGGUUUAAAGGGUGCGCAGGCGGGCUUUUAAGUCAGCGGUGAAAUCUGGACGCUUAACGUCCAAACUGCCGUUGAAACUGGGAGUCUUGAGUAUGGAUGAAGUAGGCGGAAUUCGUUGUGUAGCGGUGACAUGCAUAGAUAUAACGAGGAACUCCGAUUGCGUAGGCAGCUUACUAAGCCAUAACUGACGCUCAUGCACGAAAGCGUGGGGAUCAAACAGGAUUAGAUACCCUGGUAGUCCACGCCGUAAAACGAUGAUUACUAGUUGUAUGCGAUAUGAUAGUAUGUGACUAAGCGAAAAGCGAUAAGUAAUCCACCUGGGGAGUACGCCGGCAACGGUGAAACUUAAAUGAAUUGACGGGGUCAUAGCUGUUUCCUG
rnacentral:rRNA from 1 species